rnacentral:siRNA from 1 species
AAGACAUCUUCUUUCUAUUGUGC